rnacentral:rRNA from 1 species
UUUAACGAGGACCUAUUGGAGGGCAAGUCUGGUGCCAGCAGCCGCGGUAACUCCAGCUCCAAUAGCGUAUAUUAAAGUUGUUGCGGUUAAAAAGCUCGUAGUUGGAUUCCUGUCUUCGGCCGGGCGGCUAAUGGUUUAGGCCGUUAGACUGCUUUUGGGUCCGGGUGUCAAAGCCUGGGCCCUUUAACGGCCGGACAAUACCACCGGAGGUGCGGGGAUAGUAGUCGGCUCUCGGGCGGGCUAUGACGACCGCACCAAUAUAACAGUCCGAGGUGCCCUUAACAAGGUGUCUCGGGCGGCCGGUAACGUUUACUUUGAACAAAUUAGAGUGCUCAAAGCAGGUACUUCACUGCCUGAAUAUCACAGCAUGGAAUGAUGGAAUAGGACCUCGGUCUUAUUUUGUUGGUUUUCUCUAGACCCGAGGUAA